AGCGUAGACGGAUGGACAAGUCUGAUGUGAAAGGCUGGGGCUCAACCCCGGGACUGCAUUGGAAACUGCCCGUCUUGAGUGCCGGAGAGGUAAGCGGAAUUCCUAGUGUAGCGGUGAAAUGCGUAGAUAUUAGGAGGAACACCAGUGGCGAAGGCGGCUUACUGGACGGUAACUGACGUUGAGGCUCGAAAGCGUGGGAAGCAAACA
rnacentral:rRNA from 1 species